rnacentral:rRNA from 1 species
AGUCGAGCGGUAAGGCCUUUCGGGGUACACGAGCGGCGAACGGGUGAGUAACACGUGGGUGAUCUGCCCUGCACUUCGGGAUAAGCCUGGGAAACUGGGUCUAAUACCGGAUAUGACCUCAGGUUGCAUGACUUGGGGUGGAAAGAUUUAUCGGUGCAGGAUGGGCCCGCGGCCUAUCAGCUUGUUGGUGGGGUAAUGGCCUACCAAGGCGACGACGGGUAGCCGACCUGAGAGGGUGACCGGCCACACUGGGACUGAGACACGGCCCAGACUCCUACGGGAGGCAGCAGUGGGGAAUAUUGCACAAUGGGCGAAAGCCUGAUGCAGCGACGCCGCGUGAGGGAUGACGGCCUUCGGGUUGUAAACCUCUUUCAGCAGGGACGAAGCGCAAGUGACGGUACCUGCAGAAGAAGCACCGGCUAACUACGUGCCAGCAGCCGCGGUAAUACGUAGGGUGCAAGCGUUGUCCGGAAUUACUGGGCGUAAAGAGUUCGUAGGCGGUUUGUCGCGUCGUUUGUGAAAACCAGCAGCUCAACUGCUGGCUUGCAGGCGAUACGGGCAGACUUGAGUACUGCAGGGGAGACUGGAAUUCCUGGUGUAGCGGUGAAAUGCGCAGAUAUCAGGAGGAACACCGGUGGCGAAGGCGGGUCUCUGG